UCCCUCAUAGCUCAGUCGGUAAAGAAUCUGCCUGCAAUGCAGGAGACCCAGGUUCGAUUCCUGAGUUGGGAA
rnacentral:tRNA from 1 species